GCAAAGCUGUUGGUCUGAUCCUGCAUGCUGCAAGGAGCAGUUCUCCUGCAAGGGGAAGUGCUGCAGGAGGCAGUUUGAAUAUCCAGGACAGAAGAUCCUCCUUCUUUGAUGCUGUGGAGAAACACAGAAUACUGCUCAAUACAACAGGGUGCUGACUCCUCAAAACCUGGAAAGAGUAACACAGGAUCCAGAAUGACUUAUUUUCUGUUUUGAUUCUUUAUUCCAUGAGUACUACUAGUUCAUUAAUAACUUAAAUGAUGUGACCAGGAAGACAAGUAGGCUAUUUCUAAGGGGACCUGAAGAACGCAUACACGUGCAUACAAUCAGAUAUGCAUCUUUACUUGUUAAACACCUACUUUGAUUACAUGUGAAAAUUAUGCAAGCAGCUAGACACGUGAUAACUAUCAUACUAAAAUAUGAACUAAGUGGCAAGCCACACUAUAAAGAUGCCCCUGGCGACCUUUCUAAGUCAUUGUCUAACACAGUGACUAUAAUGAAAAGCCAUUUCCUAUUUGCUAUUCAGGUUUUUUUUUUUUUUUGCCACUACAUUAAAUCAAUACAUCAACUACUUUAAUGUUUCAGAAAACUGCUAAUGCAACAUUUGGGCUAAUUAACUUCUUAUUUUUUGUUACCGUCUUGUGCUAAAAAUUCUUUGUAUUAGAUCUUGCUGUCUAGAGUAUUAUGUUUUACGACAUGAAAAUAAUAGACUGACUAAAUUUGUCCUUGAAGUACUGAACCAGUGUAUUAUGUUAAGGAGAACAAAUAAAGAAAUAAAUGUUAAUCACUACCUGGGAAAAAAACAAAGUAGGAAAACAAAAAGUAAUGCUCUUAAAACAAAUAAUGUUGAUUCAGCCUUAAGUAACAAUGGUUUCCAGUGGUACACUUGCAGAGCCAGUUGUAGAAAAAAGUGUAUCCUGGGUGGUUUGCGGAAGGUGCCCCCUCUCCAGUUGAAGGGAUGUCAGCGGGUGCAUAUAUGCUGUGGGGAGCACGGCUUCUUAGUUGAGGCCAGCUCAUCUCCCUUCCCUACAGAGCAGAGCAGAGCAGGGACCCAAGACACCCAGUGAUAUUUAACUAUGCACAGGUUUAAUUUAUACAAAAUAAUAUAAAACUUAUAACCAUAAACUUAUAUCUAUCUAUCCAUCCAUCCAGAUACAUCUGUACAUGCCUGUUAUUUACAAAUAUAGGUUUAUACAGGGAAUAUCUCUUUUCAACCCUGAACUCAGACUUAGCCCUAUCCUCUGUGGCCUUCUGAUUACUCUGCAACAGGCCCUUUCAGCAGCAGGCAAAGGAGCACUUAAUGAUAAAACACAGGUUAAUUAACAAAUCAACGACAAAAAUAG